CAGGCAGAAGAAGUGCUCCUCCUUUAGACCUAACCGGGCUUCCUGGUACUGAAAAGCUGAAUGAAAAAGAAAAGGAGGUAUGACAUUAGUUGAAAGUUCAGAUUUCUCGUGUUUAAUAGACAAUAAUGCAUGUGCUUUCAAUAAGUAUAUUCUUGUUUUAGCAUGUAAGAGUAAGGGCUUACUUCAUCAAAAAUCUCUUCGAUUUAUUUUUUUUUUUGUUUCAGUAUUUUAAACAAUCAUAAUUGUCAUUUAGAGCUUUGUGUUGGCAAAGUGUAAUACAUUACAGGCUUGUUUUAAAUCCUUGCUGUUUUGUGAAAACCCUCGAAACCCUAAUACAGAAUAAAUUGUGUGCUAGAUAAAUCAAUUGGCUAAAGUAUGCCAGCUUGUAUUAGUCAAUAGUUAUUUGUGAAACAAAAUUAUGCAAAUUUUGCUGUAGAACAUUUUCUUUAUUUAAUUUAACCAUUGGUUGAAUUUUCCAGUAAACAGGGUAAGCCAGGGCUCGGCAAAUACAAAUUUCCACUUGCGCCUGGGAUUUGCCAGCUCUUUAACGUGGCCGCUGAGGGAGCUUCUUUUUUUUUAAUUUUUUUUAUUCUUUAUUUUGUUGUGUCGAUUCAACAGAAAUGUCCACAUUGCCACAACAGCUUAUGCAGGCAUACUUAGCAACAUAUAUUAAUACAGUAGCUGCAUACAUAUACACAUAGCACUUUUUUACAUAUUAAUUGUGUAGUUGGGGUGUCGUCUAUUGUUUCAGGCAUGUCCAAGACCUGGUGGAUUCUGUGAGUGUGCCUUCUUAGGGUUUGUCUUUGGACAUGUGUUGUCUUAUGAGUCUGUUUGAAAACCAGCUAUGGAGGCGUAUUUUGUAUGUGUGGUGUGAGGUCUGUGGGGUCUCCCCAAUGUGACUGUCUGUCUAGUCCCAGGUGUGUGAGGGUGAGUCUUGUCGUGAAUGGGGUGCCCUAGGAUGGUAUGUGUCCCUCAUCAGGGAUACCCUCCUGUCAUAAUGGAUAUGUUUUUAUCUGUUUUUAACCAUGUUCGUGUGGGGAGAUAGGUCAAAUGCAGAGAGGGAGCUUUGAAGGCAGCCGCCGCUGGACAGCAUGCAGCCGGCCACCCGCGGGAGCAAGGAGGUGGCCAGCUGAGGCAGCAUGCAACGGGCCACCCGCGGGAGCAAGGAGGCGGCUGGCCGAAGCAGCAUGGAGGCGGUGCACGAGGGAGCAGUACUCUUACUGCAGCUCCUCUCUGCUUCCUUGCUCUGUUUAAUGAUGCCAGGAGCCGGAAUAUGAGGUCACUCCGGUCCCGGCAUCCUUACAGAGAGCGAGCAGGGAGAAGAGAGGAGCUGCAGUAAGAGUACUGCAGAAAGAGAAAAGGCCCACUGGACCCCAGGGAAAGACCCACUCAGCUCUCCUAAAGGUAUGGAGGCUGAGUGGGUUUCAAUUAAUACAAAAAUGUGAGUCUGUGUCUGUCUGUGUGCACGCGUGCCCCCUCCGAUCGUACGAGGAAUGUGUUUUUACUGACCUUUUCCCCCCAAACCGUGCCACUUUUGCCGUGGCUGGUACGACUUCAGUGGAUGAGAUUAUCAAUCUUUAUGAUCUCAGCUAAGCAGGAUUUUGUGCAUGCCCAGCAAAUGUGCCAAUCCGCAUCUCCUCAUAGGGAUGCAUUAAGUUAAUGAAUCUCUAUGAGGAACAUUCAGCGCCUCCAUGCAUAGCUUGGAGACCCUGAACGUCGGUGCUGCACAUGGUGCACCAGUGACCCAGGAUUCUCUAGUGGCCAUCUGAGUGACUGUCACUAGAGGUGUUACUAAGCAGCAAUGUAAAUACUGAUUUUUGCUGAAAAGGCAGUGUUUACACUGAAAAGCCUGCAUGGUAUAUAGUCACCAGAACAACUACAUCAAGCUGUGGUGGUUUUGGUGUCUAUAGUGUCCCUUUAAGAAUUGCUUUUUUUCUUGUUGAAAAUGACUGGCUCCUAACUUUUUUAGCUGGCUCCUAGAUUCCAAACAAAUUUGUCAAACCCUGGGGUAAGCCAUCAGAUCCUGUAGAGCAGAUGUUUAACAGUAGGCUGGUUGUAAUGUGGGAAAGAGGACACCUAUUCUCAAGGAGUUUUAUUUGCUGAUUGGUAGUUGCUUCCAUCUUAAGUGCUGGACAGUUGUCUUUUAAAUAGAUUGCCCAGACUUUAUAUACUAAGCUCCUCAUUGGCAGAAAUGUCCUCAUUUAUUACUUGGCUUCAGAACAAUUGAAAUAAAAGAUAUGUGGACAUUCAAGUUGAUUCAUAACCUUCAAAUAUCAGAAAGAAGAGGUGCAUGAGGAAGUUUUCCACAAUCUUCUAAAAGAAGCCAUUGACCAUGAUGAACUUGUUAAUCAUCAGUAAAAGUCAUAAGACCUCUCUAACCAUUGACUUAUAUAAAUAUAUAUUCUCACGGUAAUUUUAGGUCCACAGGUUCUUGGGUUUAGUUGCUCAUUAUAAUGAGAUUUGAGUUAAAUUUUCUGUGAUUUUGUUAGUAGCUGCUGUCCAGCAGUGCACAUGGAAGCAACUGCUUAUAACUACUUAGAAAUAAGGAUUUUGUGGUAAGUUGUUUUUGUUUUUUCUUUAUUUAACCAAAGAAUGGACUUUGCUCAGGAGUUAUAGUUUACCUGUCUGCAUAUAGCUGUGUAUCAAUGUUGUAUUAAGGAAAAAUGUACUGCUGUGCUUCAACUGCAUUAUUUGGUUUUAAAAGCUAUGUUUAACCCUCCUCCUCCCCCCUGACAGACGUCGGGUGGAUUUAGAAUCCCUACUGAUGGGGGCAGAUCUCCCGCAAUUCUAUAUCUGGGCCCCAAGGGAGCAUAGGGCACUUCUCCGUACAACCUGCCCAUCUGUGACCAACUUGAUCUGGGUCACCCCUCUCACCCCUAUAUAUCGCAACAUAGUUUUUGCCCCGGGCAUGAGAGCCAGAGAUUUUAGGGACAUAGAACAUGCUGGGCUCCAGAGGAUUUAUUAGCUAUGUAGUGGAGAUACUAUAGUCUUUUUACAGAACUACAAAACAGAUCAACAUUAACUCGUCAGAUUUUUUUCAGAUAUCUCCAAAUCUCCAAAAACUUUUUUUUGAACGAAUAUGCAAUGCAGAAAUGUAUUAAAAAGGCAUGAUCACUCUGCUCUACUCCCACCUUUACUGAACUACAACUCCCAUGAUUCUUUGAAUUACAUAGAUAGCCAGAGAAUCAUGGGCAUUGUAGUUCAGCAACAUCUGGGGGGCCAGAGUUUGAGGACCCCUGCUCUAGAGGGUAUUGAUUGGCAGGAUAUUUGGAAAGCUAACUCUAAAACAUCCAUCUGUGUCACAAUGCAAGAACAAUCUUACAAAACGAUGUUCCGGUGGUAUACCACACCAGUUAAAUUGUAUUACAUGAAGAAAACGUCCACAGAUCUCUGUUGGAGAGACUGCGGAGCUAAGGGAACUUAUGAACACAUGUGGUGGAGCUGCCCAAAGGUAACAUUAUUUUGGACUGAGGUCCAGACACUAAUAGCCCAAAUACUCCCUAAACAUAGAAGGAAUGUGUGUCUAUAAGGCGCUUAUGAUAUAUUAAAUAGAAAUAAAAUUUGCUUAUAGCAGCUACCACAUCAAAAUAGGGACUCUCUCCCCUAUAGAACAAUAUAUAAAGUAAGUGUACACACAGUGUAGGAGGACAUUGUGAUAAUAAAAACCACCACUAGUGUAUAUGUCAAGCGCUAGAGAUAUGUAAACUUACCCCUAUGGAUUAACACAAUUUGACAUGCAAAGGAAAAAAGUAUCACAAUCCCUAAACAUGUUGACCUGAACCCCUGGACGUUCUUACCCAAACCAAUCGAUGAUUGGACUCUGGCUGAACAGCAAUUGUUUAACAAAAUUGCAUUGGCCACUCGACUGGCUCUAGUCCAAACGUGGCCCUAUUCCACCACACCUCCCAUAAACAUGGUCCUUCAAAAAAAAGAAAAGUAUCUUAUGGACAAACUGACUGCACAAGUUCAGGGAUCCAUGAAGGCUUUCUCUAGAGUCUGGGAGCCAUGGAAAGACUAGAAGGACAACUAAUAAAAAAGGCCCCUGAUGCUGCACCAAAGUCUAAUCUUGCCCCCCCACCCACCUCUCCUAGAAGAUGCUCCUUCCGCCAUUGCCGACCAGAGACCUCCGGACCUCUCACUACUUUUCUCCUUUUUCCUCUUUCUCUAACUACUUCUCCCUCUUCUUUACCGAAACCCCUUUUUCCGGUACUUUCUAAAAGGUAUAAAAUCCUCAGGACCUGAGACAGAGUAUUAUACCCAACUAAUACCUGGCAUUUUAGUCUUUAUAUAAACCAAUUUAUCACAAAGUGGAGAGAGGCGUUUAUUACUACUACUGCAUUCUCUUGAAUGUUCGAUAACCACUUGAUCAUGAACACCCUGAAAUAUUGUUAUAUGUAAAUGCUGUUACUCUACUCUCUUUUAUAUUGUCUGUAUAUUCCUCUCUGCUAUACGAUAUAUUACCGUGAUGAAAUGCAACUUUCUCUGUAAACUGAUGUGUGUGCCAUAUUGCAAUCUGAAUGUCUUGUUUUUUUCUGCGAAAAAAAAAGAAAAAAGCUAUGUUUAAAAUGUGCUUCAUUGCAAAAGUAGCCGGAAGAAAUGCAAGAUAUACUCUGAAACACAAAGCUUGCCUGGGCUCAUUUGUAUUUCCAGCAGGAUGUUCUUGAAACAUGGACACAUGGUUUGUCAGAAUUCCUGUGCCCAAAACAUACUUUUACCAAGAUCUGACUUUUGAUGUGCUCCCUUACAUACAUGUACGUUUCUCUCAUUCAAGAAAGCUAGUAGAUUGAAACUCUUUAUAAAAACCUCACAACUCAAAUUAUUUUUCCUGUUUGUUUUAUUCCGUUAUAGUCCAUUUUCUAGGUUACUUAGUCCCAGAGUCUUUAUUCCCCCCAAUAAUAUGGUGCUAAUGCUCAAAAACUGGCAAUAACCAAAUACACAAAGUCAAAAAUGUAAUUUCUUUUCUUUUGUCUUGCAGCUUUGUCAAGUGGUGAGAUUGGUUCCUGGUGCUUAUCUGGAAUACAAAGCAGCACUAAUGAAUGAGUGCAGAAAGCAAGGAAGUUUACGACUGGCACAGGCUCGCACUCUUAUUAAGAUAGAUGUGAAUAAGACUCGCAAGAUUUAUGAUUUUCUUAUACGAGAAGGAUUUAUUAUGAAACCUCAACAAUAACAGAUCUACAACAAACAUGUGUAAUAAGAAAAUCGUCAUUAAUAUUUUAUUGAUGUUUAGUAUUAUGUUUUUGUUUUGUUUUUUUUGUUCUUUUUAGAGGUCGUGUACCAGUUAUUUUACUUAAACCGUCUGCACUUUGACAGUGUUAUUGUAUGAUCAUCACAACCAUUAUAGCUGGAUGAAACUUUAUAGAAUAAAGUUCUACUCAGCAGAUUUCAACACACAUCUGCCAAUAUUAUUUUCUUUGAAAAUAGGAUUCUUUACCUUGUUAUAUCUAAAUAUAUUUUCUUUCUAUGGUGCACCAUCUUAAAGCUGUCCUUCAACCCAGGAAGAAAGUUUUAAGCACCACUAGUAAAUUUACAUUCUGCCCCAGGUCAAAUACAGGAAGAUCAUCCUUAAGUUCAUAUAGUAUCCAAAUAUUGACAUGUUAUCUUGGAAACUCUACAUAGAACGAAAAACUGAAAUAUAGAAUUGUUUUACAAACAAAAUGAUGUAAUUGAACCGACAAAAUUGCACAAACGAAGGGAAGGCGUUAUUGCUGCUGUAUAACAAACUAAAAAACUAAGUUGUAAAAUUCAGUGUAAAGUGUUUUUUGUUUUGGGUUUUUUUUUUGUUUUUUUUUGUUUGUUUUUUAUAUACAACUGUCAAUAUUAUUCAUACAUUUGUGUAUGAUUAAUGGUUUUGUUAGAUAACUGAAUAACUGUUUCUAAGUUCUUUAGAAAUGUAUAUUUCCACGUGUAUUCUGUUUUUGGGUUGCCACGUACUCUUGUAACUUGGAUACUUCCAUAAAGGCAUAUUUCAUAAUCCUUAUCUUUAUUUUUUAU